rnacentral:rRNA from 1 species
GAAGGUUACUUAACGCAUGGUGUGGAUGCCUUGACUGAAGCAAGCGAUGAAGGACGUAGGAGGCUGCGAAAAGCCUCGGGGAGCUGUCAACCAAGCUGUGAUCCGGGGAUGUCCGAAUGAGGAAACUCUCUUGUGCGUGCACAAGAAUCGUGCUCUGAAUACAUAGGGGUACGAAGCAAACCCUGGGAAUUGAAACAUCUCAGUACCAGGAGGAAUAGAAAUCAAUAGAGAUUCCGAGAGUAGUGGCGAGCGAAAUCGGAACAGCCUAAACCGCAUACUUGUAUGCGGGGUUGCAAGGCUCAUUGACUCGAUCGAUCGGGGUCCGUCAACUUUUUUUAGCAGAACAGUCUGGAAAGACUGACCAGAGGGGGUAAUAGUCCCGUACGCGAAAAAAAGAGUUGCCGGAUGAAUGAGUUCUUAAGUAGGGCGGGGCCGGAGAAACCCCGUUUGAAUCCGGGAGCACUAACUUCCAAGGCUAAAUAUUGCUUCAGAUCGAUAGUGAACUAGUACCGUGAGGGAAAGGUGAAAAGCAUCCCGAUAAGGGAGGUGAAAUAGAACUGAAACUCCAUGCUAACAAAGAAUUGGAGCCUCGACGUAAGUCGGGGUGACAGUGUGCUUUUUGCAGCACGAUCCAACGAGUUAGUUCUGCGCGGUUGUUUAAGGGGUGACAAACUCCGGAGACACAGUGAAAGCGAGCCUUAAUAGGGCGACUUAUAAUCGCGUGGACUAGACCCGAAGCCAGACGAGCUACACAUGAGCAGGGUGAAGCGUCGGUAAAACGACGUGGAGGCCCGAACCCACUAGUCGUGCAACUCUAGGGGAUGACUUGUGUGUAGGGGAGAAAUUCCAAUCGAGUUUGGCAAUAGCUGGUUCUCUCCGAAAUAGCUUGAGGGCUAGCGUCCGGACAAUUAUACCCGAGGGGUAGAGCUACUGAAUGAGGUGUCGCCGUAAGGUAGGCUCCUCAAUCAAACUCCGAAUACUCGAGGUACGUACCCGGGCAGUCAGUACUACGGGGCUAAGCUCGUAGCACAAAAGGGAAACAGCCCAGACCGUCAGCUAAGGUCCCUAAAUUUAUGCUCAGUGGGCAAGGAAGUGAAGACUCUUAGACACUUAGGAGGUUGGCUUAGAAGCAGCCAUCCUUUAAAGAGUGCGUAAUAGCUCACUAAUCUAGAGUCUUUGCGCCGACAAUGUAACGGGGCUUAAGCAUAAUACCGAAGCUACGGAUUGCAUCGUAAGAUGCAGUGGUAGGAGAGCGUCCCAUACGCGCUGAAGCGGGAGGGUGACCGACCGUGAAGUGUAUGGAAGUGAGAAUGUUGGAAUGAGUAACCACAAGGCAGGUGAGAUCCCUGCCCGCCGAAAAUCCAAGGUUUCCUGGGCCAUGUUGAUCAACCCAGGGUUAGUCGGUCCUAAGGCGAGGCUGAAAGGCGUAGUCGAUGGACAGCAGGUUAAUAUUCCUGCACUGCUUGCAUAUUCGAUGGAGUGACGCAUCUCUGUACUUCUUGCCCCUUAUUGGAUUGGGGUUUGGGUUUCGAGGAUGUCAUACAGGUAAAUCCGUAUGGCAAUAGUCCGAGGAAUUCGACGAUUCUGGUAGCAAUACCGGAAGAGAAGAGGGAGCGGGGUGCCAGGAAAAGCUUCUCAGGUUCGUAUGCAAGUAUCCGUACCGGAAACCGACACAGGUGGAUAGGUCGAGUAGACCAAGGCGAACGGGAGAGUAUUCGUUAAGGAACUAGGCAAAAAAGCUAGGCGUAAGUUUGCAAUAUGCCUUCCCGGUACCGCUUCGGCGGGAUCGGGCGCAGCGAAAGUUUUUCAACCGACUGUUUAUCAAAAACACAGCUCUCUGCAAACCCGCAAGGGGAAGUAUAGGGGGUGACACCUGACCAGUGCUGGAACGUUAACGGGAGCGGUGCAAGCCAAUCCCCGAAGCGCCAGUGAACGUCGGCGAUAACUAUAAUCGUCCUAAGGUAGCGAAAUUCCUUGUCAGGUAAGUUCUGACCCGCAUGAAAGGUGUAACGAUUUGGAAACUGUCUCAACGAACAUCCCGGUGAAAUUGCAAUGACGGUAAAGAUGCCGUCGACCUGCAGCAAGACGAAAAGACCCCAUGGAGCUUUACUACAACUUGGUAUUGACUUAAAGUUUUUGUUGCCGAGCAUAGGUGGGAGACUUCGAAGCGCCCCUUCAGGGGGGUGUGGAGUCAUCACUGGAAUACCACCCUGCAAAGAUUUUAAUUCUAACCUGCCGCCGUAAUCCGGCGGGGGGACAGUGCCUGGCGGGUAGUUUGACUGGGGCGGUCGCCUCCUAAAGAGCAACGGAGGCGUUUACUAAGGUUGGCUAGGUCCGGAUGGAAAUCGGGCCGAUAGCGCAAAAGCACAAGCCAGCUUUACUGAGAGACCGAUCAGUUAAUCAGUUACGAAAGUAGAAUUUAGUGAACCGACCAUCACUCGUAGGAGUGUGGAAGAUCAUCAGAUAAAAGCUACCCUGGGGAUAACAGGCUGAUCUUGCCCAAGAGUCCAUAUCGACGGCAAGGUUUGGCACCUCGAUGUCGGCUCAUCGCAUCCUGGGGCUGAAGCAGGUCCCAAGGGUUUGGCUGUUCGCCAAUUAAAGCGGUACGCGAGCUGGGUUCAGAACGUCGUG